rnacentral:rRNA from 1 species
UACGUGAGGGGCGAACGUUGUUCGGUGUCACUGGGCUUAAAGGGCGCGUAGGUGGCUGUGUAAGUAACGUGUGAAAGCCCCCGGCUUACCCGGGGAAUUGCGCGUUAUACUGCACGGCUUGAGGGUCAGAGGGGAUGGAGGAACUCCAGGUGUAGCGGUGAAAUGCGCAGAUAUCUGGGGGAAGGCCGGCGGCGAAGGCGUCCAUCUGGCUGAUUCCUGACACUGAGGCGCGAAAGCGUGGGGAGCAAACAGG